rnacentral:rRNA from 1 species
UGCUUGUCUCAAGACUAAGCCAUGCAUGUCUAAGUAUAAACGAUCUUUAUACGUGAAACUGCGAAUGGCUCAUUAAAUCAGUUAUAGUUUAUUUGGUGGUUCCUUACUACAUGGAUAACUGUAGUAAUUCUAGAGCUAAUACAUGCAUAAAGUCCCGACUUCUGGAAGGGAUGUAUUUAUUAGAUCCAAAACCAAUGCGGUCUCCGGACCGGUACGUUGGUGAAUCAUGAUAACUGCUCGAAUCGCAUGGACAUGUUCCGGCGAUGAUCCAUUCAAAUUUCUGCCCUAUCAACUUUCGAUGGUAGGGUAGUGGCCUACCAUGGUUGCAACGGGUGACGGAGAAUUAGGGUUCGAUUCCGGAGAGGGAGCCUGAGAAACGGCUACCACAUCCAAGGAAGGCAGCAGGCGCGCAAAUUACCCAAUCCCGACUCGGGGAGGUAGUGACAAUAAAUAACAAUGCCGGGCUUUUAUAGUCUGGCAAUUGGAAUGAGUACAAUUUAAACCCCUUAACGAGGAACAAUUGGAGGGCAAGUCUGGUGCCAGCAGCCGCGGUAAUUCCAGCUCCAAUAGCGUAUAUUAAAGUUGUUGCAGUUAAAAAGCUCGUAGUUGGAUUUCGGAGCAGGUGGGCCGGUCCACCGCAAGGUGUGUACUGGGCGCCAGCUCUUCCUCUCGGAGGCCCCGUCUGCUCUUCACUGAGUGGUCAGGGAGUUCGGGACGUUUACUUUGAAAAAAUUAGAGUGUUCAAGGCAAGCCGUUGGCCUGAAUACGUUAGCAUGGAAUAAUGGAAUAGGACCUCGGUUCUAUUUUGUUGGUUUCUAGGACCGAAGUAAUGAUUAAGAGGGACAGUUGGGGGCAUUCGUAUUCAAUUGUCAGAGGUGAAAUUCUUGGAUUUAUGGAAGACGAACAACUGCGAAAGCAUUUGCCAAGGAUGUUUUCAUUAAUCAAGAACGAAAGUUGGGGGUUCGA